CAAGUCGAACGGUAACAUUUCUAGCUUGCUAGAAGAUGACGAGUGGCGGACGGGUGAGUAAUGCUUGGGAACUUGCCUUUGCGAGGGGGAUAACAGUUGGAAACGACUGCUAAUACCGCAUAAUGUCUUCGGACUAAACGGGGCUUCGGCUCCGGCGCAAAGAGAGGCCCAAGUGAGAUUAGCUAGCUGGUAAGGUAACGGCUUACCAAGGCGACGAUCUCUAGCUGUUCUGAGAGGAAGAUCAGCCACACUGGGACUGAGACACGGCCCAGACUCCUACGGGAGGCAGCAGUGGGGAAUAUUGCACAAUGGGGGAAACCCUGAUGUAGCCAUGCCGCGUGUGUGAAGAAGGCCUUCGGGUUGUAAAGCACUUUCAGUUGUGAGGAAAAGUUAGUAGUUAAUACCUGCUAGCCGUGACGUUAACAACAGAAGAAGCACCGGCUAACUCCGUGCCAGCAGCCGCGGUAAUACGGAGGGUGCGAGCGUUAAUCGGAAUUACUGGGCGUAAAGCGCACGCAGGCGGUUUGUUAAGCUAGAUGUGAAAGCCCCGGGCUCAACCUGGGAUGGUCAUUUAGAACUGGCAGACUAGAGUCUUGGAGAGGGGAGUGGAAUUCCAGGUGUAGCGGUGAAAUGCGUAGAUAUCUGGAGGAACAUCAGUGGCGAAGGCGACUCCCUGGCCAAAGACUGACGCUCAUGUGCGAAAGUGUGGGUAGCGAACAGGAUUAGAUACCCUGGUAGUCCACACCGUAAACGUUGUCUACUAGCUGUGUGUGCCUUUAAGGCGUGCGUAGCGAAGCUAACGCGCUAAGUAGACCGCCUGGGGAGUACGGCCGCAAGGUUAAAACUCAAAUGAAGUGACGGGGGCCCGCACAAGCGGUGGAGCAUGUGGUUUAUUCGAUGCAACGCGAAGAACCUUACCUACACUUGACAUGCUGAGAGUACUAGAGAUAGUUUCGUGCUUCGGGACUCAGACACAGUGCUGCAUGCUGUCGUCAGCUCGUGUCGUGAGAUGUGGGUAGUCCCGCACGAGCGCAACCAUGUCUAGUGCAGCAUAGGUGGCACUCUAAGAGACUGCCGGUGACAACCGAAGAAGUGGACGACGUCAAUCAUCAUGGCCUACUGGUAGGCUACAACGGCUACAAUGGCAUUUCUGAGGGAGCGAACAAGGGUGUGUGGAGGGACCCCCUUAAAGAUGUCAAUUCCGCAGUGGGAGUUGCCACUGCCUCUUGAUGGCGGGAAAGCCAUGAUAUAGCAUCGGGCCGGACGUACG
rnacentral:rRNA from 1 species